rnacentral:rRNA from 1 species
CACUCCUGCGGGAGGCAGCAGUGGGGAAUUUUGGACAAUGGGCGAAAGCCUGAUCCAGCAAUGCCGCGUGAGUGAAGAAGGCCUUCGGGUUGUAAAGCUCUUUUGUCAGGGAAGAAACGGUGAAAGCUAAUAUCUUUUGCUAAUGACGGUACCUGAAGAAUAAGCACCGGCUAACUACGUGCCAGCAGCCGCGGUAAUACGUAGGGUGCAAGCGUUAAUCGGAAUUACUGGGCGUAAAGCGUGCGCAGGCGGUUUUGUAAGUCUGAUGUGAAAUCCCCGGGCUCAACCUGGGAAUUGCAUUGGAGACUGCAAGGCUAGAAUCUGGCAGAGGGGGGUAGAAUUCCACGUGUAGCAGUGAAAUGCGUAGAUAUGUGGAGGAACACCGAUGGCGAAGGCAGCCCCCUGGGUCAAGAUUGACGCUCAUGCACGAAAGCGUGGGGAGCAAACAGGAUUAGAUACCCUGGUAGUCCC